rnacentral:tRNA from 1 species
GCGCUGGUGGUUCAGAGGCAGAAUGCUCGCCUUCGGUGCAGGAGGUCAGGGUUUGAUUCUUGGCCAGGGCA